UGCUGCAAAUACCUUGUCCACCAUCUAUAAAACAAAGUACUGGCAAGAACAGAGUUGCCUAUUUCUAAGGACUUCGCUUGCUAGCCUUUGAAGUAGCAAUAAAUAAUGAGCUGCAAUGAGAAUAAAAAAAGGGUAGCAUUCAGUUUUUCAUGUGUUGGAAGUUUUGUUUGGAUGAAUUACUGGAGAAGGAUGCCAGAAAAUGGGUUAAGCAUAUCUGUGUGUUUAAUUAAACACUAAAUGCAAAGGAUAAGUAUUGCCAUGCACUUAAGAGUUAAGUGGACCACUCUGCCAUAGUUUAGAAUAGGGGUAAGUCAACCUUUUUAUAUCUACCGCCCACUAAUGCAUCUUUAUUGAUGGUAAAAUUUCCCAGUGCUCGAUGGAAGGAGGAUUCAGCUUGUGCCGUAGAAUCCCCUACCGCCCACCUAGAACCCCCUACCACCCACUAGUGGGCGGUAGGGACCAGGUUGACAACCCCUGGUUUAGAAGGAUAGAUAUUUUACAGGGUUAUUUUUGCAAAAUCAUUUACUGUCAUGAACAAAGGGCAUAGCACUUAAUGCACAUCUCAUUCCAGUAGCGAACUCAAUUCCUUGGGAAUUUACUCAGUGAUGCUUUGGUUAAUAAUAAUAAUAAUAAUAUUUCUACCCUGCCUAUCUGGCUGGGUUUCACCAGCCACUCUGGGUGGCUUCCAGCAAAAUCUAUAAAGAUAAUAAAUAUCUGCUCUACAUCUACAAAUAUCAACGGUGUCUCUGCUCCAGUGGAUUAUCUGAUGUCAAAACUAGUUCAUUUCAUCUACAGGGAUAUUCAUGCGCUGCAGCCACACCUGGAGCGCAUGCAUCAAACUGCAUGGUGUGCUGAGUUACCACAUUUGAAGAGAGAAAGGAUAGCUCUGGGAUUCCACUAUUUCAAGGACUGUAAGAAUACCCCUUCACCCAGUAGUCUCUGCUGAGGCCAAUAGGCUGCUUUGCACGUGGUGCUGAACCACUACACAGAAUUCCACUUCGUAUGUUUACACAAUCCCUACAUAGAAGGAAGGCAUAGGAAAUGGAAGAGUUAAUGUACAUGUAGAUUGCGGUGUGUGCCAUCAUGACUGCAUGGGCGCAUGUUGGCACGCCACCGUUAACCACAUUCCCAACCCGUGUACAUGGCAGUGAUCCAGAUAUACAUAGGAUCAUGGCUAAGGUAUGGUCUACAUGCAUAAGAUAGUGUUCCUUAUGUGGAAGUCCCGUCUAUGCAAAUGUUUUGUGAUAUGUAAACCAAUCUGAACUCUUUGAGGAAUGGAAUAGCUCAUUUUUUGAUUGGUUAGAAUUUGGGCUUGGAAGAGGUCAUAAUGCAUUCCAAAAGCAGUGUCCUUGGUUGUCGUGCACAACUUCUGAACAAUUCAAAUGAGCAGAAAGUAUUAUUCCAUGACAAUGUCUGAUAAUCCUUUUGUUUCUUUUUGCUGAAAUUUGACUGUUAAAUUUUUACUCUGGUUUUGAAAGAAAGUUAAAUGUUUUA